UACAUAAGUCCACUUUCAUAGUUUUGAUUUGAUUUAGUGAUAAUCUACAAUGUAAAUAGUCAUGAGAAUAAAAGAAACCCAUUGAAUGAGGUGUGUUCACACUUUUGGCCUGUACUGUACAUUUAAUCAAUUAAAGUU